GUGAGUCAUCGAAUCUUUGAACGCACAUUGCGCCCCUUGGUAUUCCAUGGGGCAUGCCUGUUCGAGCGUCAUUUGUACCCUCAAGCUCUGCUUGGUGUUGGGUGUUUGUCCCGCUGCAUGCGUGGACUCGCCUCAAAACAAUUGGCAGCCGGCAUAUUAGUCCUGGAGCGCAGCACAUUUUGCAAUCCAGCCUAGAAUGUUGGCAACCACAAGCCUAAUUUUUUACGCUUGACCUCGGAUCAGGUAGGGAUACCCGCUGAACUUAAGCAUAUCAAUAAGCGGAGGA
rnacentral:misc_RNA from 1 species